rnacentral:rRNA from 1 species
ACGGAAGGCAGCAGUGGGGAAUAUUGCACAAUGGGGGAAACCCUGAUGCAGCGACGCCGCGUGAGUGAAGAAGUAUUUCGGUAUGUAAAGCUCUAUCAGCAGGAAAGAAAAUGACGGUACCUGACUAAGAAGCCCCGGCUAACUACGUGCCAGCAGCCGCGGUAAUACGUAGGGGGCAAGCGUUAUCCGGAUUUACUGGGUGUAAAGGGAGCGUAGACGGCUUUGCAAGUCUGAAGUGAAAGCCCGGGGCUCAACCCCGGAACUGCUUUGGAAACUGUAGAGCUAGAGUGCAGGAGAGGUAAGUGGAAUUCCUAGUGUAGCGGUGAAAUGCGUAGAUAUUAGGAGGAACACCAGUGGCGAAGGCGGCUUACUGGACUGUAACUGACGUUGAGGCUCGAAGGCGUGGGGAGCAAACGGGAUUAGAUACCCUGGUA